rnacentral:rRNA from 1 species
GAUGAACGCUAGCUACAGGCUUAACACAUGCAAGUCGAGGGGAAACGACAUCGAAAGCUUGCUUUUGAUGGGCGUCGACCGGCGCACGGGUGAGUAACGCGUAUCCAACCUGCCCACCACUUGGGGAUGACCUUGCGAAAGUAAGACUAAUACCCAAUGACGUCUCUAGAAGACAUCUGAAAGAGAUUAAAGAUUUAUCGGUGAUGGAUGGGGAUGCGUCUGAUUAGCUUGUUGGCGGGGUAACGGCCCACCAAGGCGACGAUCAGUAGGGGUUCUGAGAGGAAGGUCCCCCACAUUGGAACUGAGACACGGUCCAAACUCCUACGGGAGGCAGCAGUGAGGGAUAUUGGUCAAUGGGCGAGAGCCUGAACCAGCCAAGUAGCGUGCAGGAUGACGGCCCUAUGGGUUGUAAACUGCUUUUAUAAGGGAAUAAAGUGAGUCUCGUGAGACUUUUUGCAUGUACCUUAUGAAUAAGGACCGGCUAAUUCCGUGCCAGCCGCCGCCGUAA